CUAAUCCCUGGCAGGAGCAGCUCCAGGAGGAGAUAACGGGAGAAGCUUCCUCCAGGGAAAUGCUCCCUGCUCUUCCCUCCUUCCAGAACAGGUGGGAAAUGGGCCCAGGGAGGAAAUAAAAACCCCAGAAGAUUCACAAAUCCAUUCCCCAGCCACGGGACAGGAGCUGAGCACACCCCAAAUCCCCCAGGAGGGCGUGGGGGUGAUCCAAGAGUUCCAGCUGCUUCCCAGUGCUGCAGACACAGCUGGGCUCCUCCCAGCUCCCAGCUCAUCCUGAACCUUGGGCUGAAGAACACACCAGAACCUUCCACUUUUAUCUCCAAGAUAAAAGCCCAAUAAAUCUCCAGCAGCAGCUGCAGCAAAUCCAGGCUCUGCCCCACCACCACCAUCAUCAUC